rnacentral:tRNA from 1 species
UGUAGUUUAGUAGUAGAACACUUGCCUGCAAAGCAUGCUUGAGGCCCUGAGUUUGAUCCCCAGCA